ensembl:lncRNA
CAUGACUGAAGUGCUUAAGACUAGAAAACAUUCAUUUCUAAUAAGUCUGUUUAAAGCUUUAAAAUUUUGAUGCACUAUCUUUUUACAUUCUCCAUUUUUUCAGUUUACAUAAUUAGUUAUUGUAACUUUCUGUGCAUGUAUAAAUUAAAACAUCUUGAAAUUAUUUGCUACUUACACUGGUGAUAACUGUAAUUUUCAGUGUAUAUCAGAUAUAGAGUCAAUGUCUACAAAUAAUGUCAUAAAUGUAUUAUAUCUCUUUAAUCAAUGAGGAAAAUGAGCAGUAGAAUAGAAUAGUACACACCCUGCAGCUAUGCAGCUAGGGCUUUACACUUAAAAUCCCAGUGCUUUAACUUACACCAAACUGCCUGGAGUAAAAAGUAAUGCUCUCUUUAUUUCAGAUGUUUUUCCCUGCAAGCAAUGAUUUUAAGAGAACAUUUUGACACACUGGUUAUCUCCAUGGCCCUUGGCAUUACAUAACCUGAACUUCCAUCCUGGUUUGCAACUUGUUUUCAGGGAGUCCUUAUUUGGCUCCCUUGAGCUUCAUUAUCUUCCUAUGAGAAAUGUGGGUGAUAGAUGCUUUGAAGCUAUGGGAGGGUUAAAUGCAGUUGGGAAUAUGACGUACCUAUCACAUUGCUUGGUGUGUAGUGGGGGCUAGGUCCAAGGGGACUUGUUAUCUUAAGUUGGCCUUUCAGAUUGUUUUCAAAGUGGGUUAAUACACCUUAAUGAACAAAUUUUACUCAGUACCCAUUCAAUUAAGAUCAUCUAGUUACUGUUACUUAGAAUGUAUUAUCCAGACAGAUUCAGACUGUCUACCUGGAGUGAACUGGAAUCUCUGAGAGGACAGUCAGAGACUGCAUGCAUUGUUCAAGGGUUCUUCUAUCCAGAAAGUCAAAAGCCACUCAGAUCCAGUGACUUUGCACAACAUUAUUGUCAGCACUGUUCUAAAAUUUCUAAUAUUUCCUCUCCCCGAAAGAUGUGCUUUCUGAAAAGAAUGAGCUGAGACCAGGUACACAGGUCUACCAGCAUUACAAGAGGGCCCCGGAUGCAUCAAAACUAUUACUACUGCUAGAAAUGUGGAAAGUCAGACAGGUUUUGUAUCUCCAUUUAAAAAUGCACCUACAAUGUCACACAGUGAUGUGUGAACAAACACCUACAUUUUGAUACAGUGACUUAUUUACCAUCCGAUGAUCAUUAUUCUGAGGAGGGUAUGAAGUGGCAUAUUGAAGAGCUGUGAGGCAGAGACAGACUGUACAUGCUGCUCUGUGUCAGUGUUAGUUUCCACUUUCCUAGAAGGAAUUUCUCAGUUUUUGGAUGUGUGUGUGUCUUGGGGAGCAUUCCUGCCUCUGUUUCAAGACCAUGUGGUUUGUGUGGGCAUAGUCUCACAACCAAGAGAAAGGAAGGAAACCAUAGACAAAAUAAAUUAUCCUAAGAAGGGUAUUGCUUGGCUUUAGCACAUUAAGGCCUAAUUCACACAUUUUAUUAAACUAUUUGGAGAAGAUGCAAAGCUCUGUUUCCAGUAAAGUUGCCAAGCUUUUAAGAAAUUAGUCUUAGAUGAUACAACAGAAUGUGGCGUGGAAUUAAGCUGACACGGGGUAAAUCAGAGCCAAGAGAUGGAGGGAGAUGCAUUCUAUCCUUUCAGUUCUAGAUGGCAUCACACCAGAGCUAUUUACCAGAGAAUAAUUAGGUUAUAUGAGUUAGCAAAUAUCCUUUUUUAAAAACAAACUUAAGUCCAGCUUUUAUCAUUGCAACCCACAGAAAUGCAAGUAUUUGUGAAAUAUGUUGGUGAAAGAGAGUGAUGAAAGAGUUAAGUGUGAGGACAAUGAAAAAGACACAGGCUCAAGAACCUUGAUCUGAGAAGUGGCUUUGGUUGUCAGCCCAUGGGAUUCUAAGAGUAUAAGCAGAUGAGAAACCUUGUGCCAAGAAAUGAGGGUCUGUGAUUGCUAACCCUCUGACAUGAUUCCCAGAGUGUUCUUUCCAGCUCAUGUCAACAAGAGUUGGCCAGUUUUCAUCAUCCAUAUGCAGAAUAAUGAGAGUUCUCCAGAAUUGGCAAGCAGUUCAUUAAAAAGAAGAAAUUAUUGUAUAUUUUUCACCUUACACACAUGGUAAUUUUAUUAUGAUUUAUACUUUUCCAUUACUUACUACUGGUUGCAUGACCUGGAAUUGCAUGAUCAAAAAUCAGUCACAUUACUGUGAGGUAAGGACCUGGAGCUAGAUUUUGUAGCUGUAUAUGAAUGUGUGUAGUCUCAUUUUGGAAGUGGCUUAAGAGUGACUUUAGUUGUGUGCAUUAGGGUUGUACUUCACAGGGUGCACGGGUUCUUACAAUCCAGUGUUUGGAAUGAAGUCUGACUUUCAAUGUUGCACAGCUAUAGUAUGAUCUGGAACUUACAAGAUUUUAGAAUUUUGGAUUUUCUAAAAUUUUGCUUUUCCAAUAUUCAUUUCUCUCCUUUGGGUAAUAGUACCUCAAUACCUCAGUAUUCCUUUGAAGAUUCCUUUACCAGAUUCAUGUAGUAAGUGUGGGGCACAGCUUUCCCUUUGUUCCAGAUGUGGCCUCAUUACUGUUACCUUAACCAUUGGCUCCAGUGAUAAUCAUGUGGCUCUAUUCAGGAACUCUCUUCUUCUACCCUUCUAACCUCUGAGAUCAGAGGUAAAUUUGGAGCAUUUCUCAGCAGUCUUGGUGCCAUGAAGAAGAACCUGGAUGAAAAGAAAACAAAUCUGAGGAAUUCAGACUAAUGAAAUAAAGCUCAAAGUCCACAGUCAGCUGGCUCCAAAGCAGGGAACAUCACAGAGGAGAAACAGUCCAUGGCAAAGCAGGGCAGACAGAAGGCAGCAAAGCAGUGAAGCAACAGCAGCAGGCCAAGUAGCAACCAAAGUAGCAAGUGAUGACAGCAGCCCGGAACCACUGAGAGAGAGAAAUUGUAUGACCUUGAGAAUUUUAGCAACUGACAUCUAGAUGGCAGAGGCAGGAUGCAAAAAUCAAAAGAAAAAAAUGCAACUUUAAACACUUUUCCAUGCUAACACCUAAGGCUUCUAGGACUCAGCUUCUGAGUUUGGCUGAAGAGGUGGGUAGUAAUGGUAACCUGCUUACAGUGUGCAAGAAUUUUAGGAGACAAAGCCUGUGAAGAGCUUCGUCCCAUCCCUGGCCCAGGAUGAACAUUCAUCAGAGCUGACACUGAUGAGAAUUUGGGCUCGGCCAAGGUCCUGCAUGUCUGAGGCAGCUCCUCGAGUGUGACUUGGGGCUCCUGGAGGCUCCCACGGUUCUGCAGUGAAGACUGGAGAGCAGCAGGCAUCUUAGCUCUCAAAUGUAGCACCACUUAAGAGAUGGGUUUGAUUUCCCUGAAACUGUUUGGACCUAUUUGUAUAAAAUUUUAUAUGGAAUAGAUAGUGUGAGAUUUUUAAGUAAUUAUUUUGUGGUGACUUAAAAAAUUAGUUUUCAAAUAGAG